UACGUAGGGUGCGAGCGUUGCCCGGAUUUAUUGGGCGUAAAGGGCGCGUAGGCGGCCACGCACGUCCGUUGUGAAAUCGCUCGGCUCAACUGGGCGGGGUCAGCGGAUACGGCGUGGCUGGAGCAAGCUAGGGGGCAAUGGAAUUCCCGGUGUAGUGGUGGAAUGCGUAGAUAUCGGGAGGAACACCAGUGGCGAAGGCGGUUGCCUGGAGCUUUGCUGACGCUGAGGCACGAAGGCCAGGGGAGCGAACGGG
rnacentral:rRNA from 1 species